rnacentral:rRNA from 1 species
UACGGGGGGGGCAAGCGUUGUUCGGAAUUACUGGGCGUAAAGGGCUCGUAGGCGGCCAACUAAGUCGGAUGUGAAAUCCCCAGGCUUAACCUGGGAACUGCAUCCGAUACUGGAUGGCUUGAAUCCGGGAGAGGGAUGCGGAAUUCCAGGUGUAGCGGUGAAAUGCGUAGAUACCUGGAGGAACACCGGUGGCGAAGGCGGCAUCCUGGACCGGCAUUGACGCUGAGGAGCGAAAGCCAGGGGAGCAAACGGG